GGGGGCGAAAUGGUCUCGACGGGGUGACGGUGCGUCAGGGUUGCGAGCCGGGAGGCGUGCUGACCCGAACAAACGCACGCAAAAAAUAAACGCCAACACUUCGAUGGCGCUGGCUGCUUAGUAAGCGGCCACGUCCGCCCGGAUCCGCCGACCGGUCCGGUGUCGGGCGUCACCCAGGUCGGCUGGCCCGAAGCUCUUGCCUCGGGGGCGGAGGGCGAGACUGACAGAGGCUGGUCGCUGCAUGCCCCGCGCGCGGGGAACGCAGCGACGAGAUAGAAAACGCGCGCUACGCUCGUAGAGGCCCUGGCUGCUGCAUCUCGGACGCGGGUUCGAUUCCCGCCGCCUCCACCA
rnacentral:tmRNA from 1 species